rnacentral:rRNA from 1 species
CAUACCCACUAUUCGCCUGAAUACUACAAGCAAAACGCUUGAAACUCAAAGGACUUGGCGGUGUCCCAUAUCAGCCUAGAGGAGCCUGUCCUAUAAUCGAUACUCCACGUUAAACCUUACCAUCUUUGGCCACUCCAGCUUAUAUACCGCCGUCGCCAGCUUACCCUAUGAAGGCCCUACAGUAGGCAAAACCGCUCACACAAAAACGUCAGGUCAAGGUGUAGCUUAUAAAAUGGAAGAGAUGGGCUACAUUUUCUAAACUAGAAAAUACGAACAAUGUAAUGAAACUACACAUUAGAAGGAGGAUUUAGCAGUAAAAUUAAGAGAAAGACAAUUUUAAAUUAAGCUCUGGGGCGCGCACACACCGCCCGUCACCCUCAUCAACAACCCUAUUUAUUAACAUAUAACCAACUAGACAACAAGAUGAGGUAAGUCGUAACAUGGUAAGCGUACUGGAAAGUGUGCUUGGAUUAACAAAAAGUAGCUUAAACCAAAGCAUUCAGCUUACAAUUGAAAAAUGUUAUCACCUAACCUUUUUGAGCCUACACCCAAGCCCCCAUCUUCCACCAAACCAACCAUACCAAAUUAAACAAAUCAUUUGAUAUAAAACAGUAUUUGAGAAAGAAC